rnacentral:rRNA from 1 species
GAUGAACGCUAGCUACAGGCUUAACACAUGCAAGUCGAGGGGAAACGAUGAGAGAGCUUGCUCUCUUAGGCGUCGACCGGCGCACGGGUGAGUAACGCGUAUCCAACCUACCCAUUACAGGGGGAUAACCUUGCGAAAGUAAGACUAAUACCCCAUGGCAUUUUAUGGUGGCAUCAUUAUAGGAUUAAAGAUUUAUUGGUAAUGGAUGGGGAUGCGUCUGAUUAGCUUGUUGGCGGGGUAACGGCCCACCAAGGCAACGAUCAGUAGGGGUUCUGAGAGGAAGGUCCCCCACAUUGGAACUGAGACACGGUCCAAACUCCUACGGGAGGCAGCAGUGAGGAAUAUUGGUCAAUGGGCGAGAGCUUGAACCAGCCAAGUAGCGUGCAGGAUGACGGCCCUAUGGGUUGUAAACUGCUUUUAUAGGGGAAUAAAGUGAGCUACGUGUAGUUUAUUGCAUGUACCCGAUGAAUAAGGACCGGCUAAUUCCGUG